UACGAAGGUGGCAAGCGUUGUUCGGAUUUACUGGGCGUAAAGGGAGCGUAGGUGGUUAGGUAAGCCCUCCGGGAAAUCUUCAGGCUUAACCUGAAAAGGUCGGGGGGGACGUGCCUGGCUAGAGGACGGGAGAGGAGCGCGGAAUUCCCGGUGUAGCGGUGAAAUGCGUAGAGAUCGGGAGGAAGGCCGGUGGCGAAGGCGGCGCUCUGGAACGUUUCUGACACUGAGGCUCGAAAGCGUGGGGAGCAAAAGGG
rnacentral:rRNA from 1 species